ensembl:lncRNA
UGAAUGUAAAUUAAGAGAAGUGAAAAUAAGUCGCUGUUAAAGUAACAAGGAAAGUUGAUGAUGAGAGCUGUACUCUACAGUCACCCUGACACCCAGUUGGGAUGGUGGAGACCUAAAGGAUUUCCUGAUGCUUUCCUUGACUUAAAGGGGCACAUACUGAGUAGUACUGUUAUAGCAUCUUUAUUUGUUCCUUUCUCCAUUUGUGUUCCUUUCUAGACCAUGGGAAUCUAUGACUCGGGGAUAACUCUGAGACACUUGGACGUAUCACUCAGGGAUAACUGAGGCUACCUCACCUGUUGGGCAUUGAGGAAGAAGACCUCAUCCUUGUCUGAUUGGAGAGAACAUGGGCCAACUGGUCCAUUUUAUAUCUUCAGAGCACACUCAGAAAGAGAGAGGGAGUCACAUGACUCACAAAAACACUUCUAGCUUUUUGAGGACUUGGAGACAGAUUGAAAUUUACUGGUGGGUUCAUUAAAAGAAAUGCACUCCCAACUUUUUAUUUUUUUAUUUUUUUACAUGACCCUCCCCUUGUACUGUAAAAUAAAUGCAACACCCUCCCCCCUCAGAGUUAACUAAAAAUGUUUAUGACCACAAAUAACUGUAGCGACCCUGUGUUUAUAAACAGGGAUAUCUAAUUCGCUACAGUAGCACAUUCGAUGCCAUGCAGGGCUACGGGCCUGAAGGUUGAGGGUUCGCCGACCACCACAGGGGAGCUCACUGUCGUCCACCAAACCUGCAUGUUUCAUUACUUCACUAUCAGUGCUGGUUGCCGACACUGAUCAGCAAGGGGGAAAUCAGAUUUUCAACAUUUUGAUGCCAUAUUUAUAAUUCUAUAAGCCUCUGGGACCAAUUCGUAAGCCCGAAGGAUAGCAGCUUUGUGUCCUAAUUUGAACUCUGGUCGAGAGAGAAAGCGGCGUACACUUUGAGCUUUUCCCACAAAAACACUUUGGAGGAGCAGUGACCAAAUAUACUACAUGGCCUUAAGUUUAAGCCUGGCUCGCUGUCGGCGUUCCAAUUCAUCCCAAAGGUGUUCGAUGGGGUUGAGCUCAGGGCUCUGUGCAGGCCAAGUUGUUCCACACUGAUCUCGACAAACCAUUUCUGUAUGGACCUCACUUUGUGCACGGGGGCAUUGUCAUGCUGAAACAGGAAAGGGCCUUCCCAAAACUGUUGCUACAAAAGUUGGAAGCACAGAAUUUUUUAGAAUGUAAUUGUAUGCUGUAGCGUUAAGAUUUCACUUCACCGGAACUAAGGGACCUAGCCUGAACCAUGAAAACCAGCCCCAGACCAUUAUUCCUCCUCCACCAAACUACCGCUGGCGCUAUGCAUUCGGGCAGGUAGUGUUCUCCUGGCAUCCGCCAAACCCAGAUUCGUCUGUCGAAUUACUAGAUGGUGAAGCGUAAUUCAUCACUCCAGAGAUCACAUUUUCACUGCUCCAGAGUCCAAUGGCGGUGAGCUUUACGCCAGCCGACGCUUGGCAUUGCGUUUGAUGCUCUUAGGCUUGUGUACAGCUGCUCGGCCAUGGAAACCCAUUUCAUGAAGCUCCCGACAAACAACCGAGGACAGAUGGUUUUUACUCGCUACUCGCUUCAGCACUCGGAGGUCCCAUUCUGUGAGCUUGUGUAGCUUACUACUUCACGGCUGAGUCGUUGUUGCUCCAAGACGUUUCCACUUCACAAGAACAGCACUUACAGUUGACUAGGUUAGAAAUUUGACAAACUGACUUGUUGGAAAGGUGUUAUUGCAUGUCGGUGUGCUCAAUUUUUAUACACCUGUCAGCAACGGGUGUGGCUGAAAUAGCCAAAUCCAUUAAUUUGAAGGGUUGUCCACAUACUUUUGACCAUGUGUCUCGCAGCCAUUUUUAGGGUUUUAGCAAGUCACUCAGAGUAAAAUAUAUAUAUCCACCUCCUUUUUGUUGAAAGGCAGUACAAGCAGGCUGUUCUUACCAUGAUCAAUCUCUGAGGGUGCAGGGUGGCCUGACUUUAUUCGGAGUACUUCCAGAUCUAUCUCCCUUUGUCGCGCUUCCAGCUCCAUCUCUCUCUUUCAAUGGAAUGGCAUGCGCACAUUCUUCUUGUUCUAGUCUGGCUGCAUGUUCUCAUUCCCUUUCCUUGUGCUCAAGCUCUAAUUUCUGUUCCCAUUUUGCCUUUAGUACUACCUCUCCCAGUUGCAUGUCUAUGGGAUGCACUCUACCACCCGUAGAACCCUUAUCAUCCUCCCUCUCCUGAAGGAUUUCCCCCUCCACCAAAGCAGUAUAGACUAACUCUUUUGACUACUGCUUUCGAAUCAGCAUGUGCAACUUUGAUAUCAUAAUGCUUUGCGAUGAAGAGCAGAAACUUUUUUACAUUUAUCUAGCAUCUCCCAAGUAAGGUUUUCCACAAAUGCUUCCAAAGUAAGUAAAUGUUUUUAAUUUUAUAAGCUUAUGUGUUUAUACAACUUUCAAAAUGUGGAAUGGUGCUGCUUGAUCUUCAGAAGGCUUUUGAUACAGUUAAUCAUAGCAUCCUACUUGCCAAGCUAGAGG